CUUCAGGUUACAUGUUUUGAGUUCUGCACAAAAUAUUUGAAUGGGUGCUUCAUAAAAGAUGAUAUAUGAGGACUUGGGGCAGAACAAGAUGGCAGAAUAGAAGGCUCCGCCAAUUGUCCCUGCUUCAAGGACACCAAUUUAACAACUAACUACAUAAAAUAGCACCUUUAUAAGAACCAAAAAUCAGGCACUUAAACACGCAGCAUGAGGAAAAUGGAACAACAAUCUUGAGGUGCCUUCUGAAUCAUCAGAUUAAAUUAUGCUUCGGUCUUGCACUGCUGCCUAGGCUAGAGUGCAGUGGUGCAAUCAGGGCUCACUGCAGCCUCACUCAACUUCCCAGUCUCAAGCCAUCCUCCUACCUCAGCCUCUGUUCCACUAAUCUACUUGUCAAUUUUUCCAGCAACACCACACCCUCCUGAUCACCAUAGCUUUAUGCAACAACAAGAAACAAAUUUAUUAGCUAACCUAACCACUAAUGACGCAAGAGACAAUUCUAAGGACUUUCAAAACAGCAAAGUAGGAGCAGCUGCUACCUCUAGGGAUGAGGGAGAAACUCAAAAAUGCAUACAAAAACCAUUGCAUGAAAAGUGACUGGAUUUGUACAUAGCGUCAGGAGAUGUGCGUAGUGUCAAAGUAUCUCAUCACACAUUACUUGAUAAUUACAAAUGAGAAAAAUGAACCUUCACAGUGGCAAGACUUGACUUCUACCUCUUUCAAAAAGAUGCAAUUGUCCAAUUAUUGGUGAAAUUGUCAUUUCAUGCUAUUGGCUAUUUGAAAUUCCUCCUCUAAUUUCAGAAUAAAUCACUGAAAUUGACAUCGGCCAGUCUGAAUUUCAAGAAAUUACCUGCUGAAGACAAGAGGGAUCUCUUCUUCAGAUUUGCAGUCUGGGGAAGACACAGCCUCUACUGUACUUUAGAACCUGAGAUAUGGUGGUGGAGGGAGCCCUGGGUCGAGUGGUAAGAUUCACCCUUAGGUUAGUAUUGACGUAAGGUGACGAGGAGCUGUAGACAAAAGAUUGUAACCAUAAGAACUUCAUAGUUUUUGUAUUUUCACCGAGCUUAUAUUUGGUGUGUUUUUUGUCUUUUCUUUAUGAUUAUCAAUAAAAUGCUUGAAA
ensembl:lncRNA LINC00470 long intergenic non-protein coding RNA 470